rnacentral:misc_RNA from 1 species
AUUUUCUCAACAGCAGUUUCAACAAUAAUACCAAACAGGCCCUAGCUCUGAAUGAGCAGAAGGUUUUCUUCUUCCACAGUUUGAAAAAGGAUUUGUUUGAGAUUGUUGUCAGAAUUAUUGAAAAAAUCACCAUCUAAAAUAAGUAAUAUGUUGAUUAAAGGGCAUUGGAACUUUAAUUUAAAGUAAAUUUAAUAAGUUCUAAUUAUAAAAACUUCAAACAGCAGCUUCAAAUUACUUUUUGCAAUAACAUUUAAAAAGGAGCUUUUCAAAAAAGCAAGUUUCAAUCUCAAGGCUAAACAGAUUCUAAGUCUCUCAAAUCUCAACAUUACUCCUAUCUCAACUUUGCUGCACCACUUCUUUAUGUGCAUAAUUACACUAAAAUUCAGUUCCCAAGUCCUAGAUCCAAAAAAACAGAAACUACUAUUUGAUCUGUACGCAAGAAAUAGGUUCACAAUGUAGUGCUGGCCACACUCAGAUCCAGUGGCUCUAGGUUCUAGUCAGUAGAAGGAAGGGACCUGAACUGGACUGCACAGAGCUGGUUCCCCAUGGAAUUGGUUCAAGGGCAAUUCCAGAUUCAGGCAAUCCAAUAGUUGUUUUUUUCUUUAAAAAAGGGUUCAUGAGGAAGAGGAGGAGGAGGAGGAGAUGGAGAGUGCGAAGAUGGUG